rnacentral:rRNA from 1 species
ACGGAAGGCAGCAGUGGGGAAUAUUGCACAAUGGGGGAAACCCUGAUGCAGCGACGCCGCGUGAGUGAAGAAGUAUUUCGGUAUGUAAAGCUCUAUCAGCAGGGAAGAAAAUGACGGUACCUGACUAAGAAGCCCCGGCUAACUACGUGCCAGCAGCCGCGGUAAUACGUAGGGGGCAAGCGUUAUCCGGAUUUACUGGGUGUAAAGGGGGCGUAGACGGUUCUGCAAGUCUGAUGUGAAAGGCAGGGGCUCAACUCCUGGACUGCAUUGGAAACUGUAGAACUAGAGUGCCGGAGAGGUAAGCGGAAUUCCUAGUGUAGCGGUGAAAUGCGUAGAUAUUAGGAGGAACACCAGUGGCGAAGGCGGCUUACUGGACGGUAACUGACGUUGAGGCUCGAAAGCGUGGGGAGCAAACAGGAUUAGAUACCCUGGUA